rnacentral:lncRNA from 13 species
UUUACGAAUUCUGUUCACCAUGUUGAAUUCGUACGUUAGGUCGCGAUCACGAUCAUCUUCGUCGUGCCGGCGUAGAAUCGAGUGCGUGUUGUCGUCCGGGAUUCCGUACAAAGUGUCGGGCGACGUUUUUUAGAGGUUAGGUCACGAUUGAUUGAUUCAUUAACGCGUCUUCGCGAGUGAAUCUUAUCGAAUAGAGUGAAGGAAGGAAUGUUGUUGGGCGAUUUGCGUAAUUCCGUGUUUCGCGGAUCUCUCGCGUUACUUCGUCUCGAUAGGGUAAAAUCACGCGUCGUGUGGGGAUCGUUGUCGAAGCGUUGCACAAGAUAUUGUGCGAUUUUAUGGUUUGGCGAUUACAGUGUACGCGAAUGAUUAGUGAUUCGAGUGAAUUUUGUGCGAGUUAAUACGGAGUCCGCAACAUGGCGACAUGGCGACAUGAAUGAAGGCGAGACUUUGAGCGCAGCCGAAAUCUGACAGGAAAAAGGGGUUCGGCGGGGAGCAUCGGUGGAACAACCACAGCCACCACAGAUUAAUGCAGUUUCAACUCCGCCGUUGCGCAUCGGUGUCGGUAAGUCUGAAAUUAUUUUUAUAUAUUUAUUUUUAUCUAUUUUUAUUCGAUAUACAGCAUAUUUUCUCGUGUACACAUAAACACGUUAGACACAUAUACGUCGGAAUAAACAUGAAAUAGUUUACAACACGUUAUUUUUAUCGAUAUUUUCAAUUAUCAUUAAUUCGUGUCGAGAACCAUCAAUGAUAUAAUGUAUCUCGUAACCGUAUUUAUUCUGCAACCUUCCUAGCCUUUAUAUAGAGGUUGUUUUGCACAAUCUUGCAAUAGCGUGACGUAUCCCGUACAAGCAUUAAUUCAAGUACAAUCUCGCAGCGAAAUCUGGC